rnacentral:lncRNA from 1 species
CAGAGAGAUAUCCUGCCCCUUCACCCCUCAGCUCUACAAACAGCAAGAGAUAUCCUGGCCCUUUCACCGCUCAGCUCUACAAACAGCAGAGAGAUAUCCUGGCCCUUCACCCCUCAGCUCACAAACAGCAGAGAGAUUUAUCCUGGCCCUUCACCCCCAGCUUCUACAAACAGCAGAGAGAUAUCCUGGCCCUUCACCGCUCAGCUCUACAAACAGCAGAGAGAUAUCCUGGCCCUUCACCCCUCAGCUCUACAAACAGCAGAGAGAUAUCCUGGCCCUUCACCCCUCAGCUCUACAAACAGCAGAGAUUCCUGGCCCUUCACCCCUCAGCUCUACAAACAGCAGAGAGAUAUCCUGGCCUUCACCCCUCAGCUCUACAAACAGCAGAGAGAUAUCCUGGCCCUUCACCGCAGCUCUACAAACAGGAGAGAUAUCCUGGCCCUUCACCCCUAGCUCACAAACAGCAGGAGAUAUCCUGGCCCUUCACCCCUCGCUCUACAAACAGCAGAGAUAUCCUGGCCCUUCAUCAUCCCUCAGCUCUACAAACAGCAGAGAGAUAUCCUGGCCCUUC